AAACAUUCACUUCUAAUAGAAGACAUUGAGUCAUGAGACCACGAAAGGUAACCACUUCCAUUAAGUUUAGUACUAAUAGCACGAACAUGUCCUAAUCUAAAACAAAGUUUGCAGCACAUCCAUAUAUAAGCAAGGCAGCUACCCAACAUAGGCUAAAGUUAUAACAAAAACAACUUCACUACAAAGGUAACAUCUCAAAAAGGAGGUUAGUAAACACUUAUUAAUGAUUCAGUACUAAACAUCAAGGUUAAUCACACAACAUUGGCAAGUUUCAUACCAAAGCAUACUUUGUUGUAACAAAUAUACUCAGAGCAACCUUCUCGGAGUGUCAGUGCAUUUCAUAAAACAAUGCUAUGAAGGGGGACAUCCGUGAUACAACAUACAUGUUGGUCCUCAACUUUCACUUCUAGCGAUCUCCGAGUAUAUUGGAAUUCCAAAGAGCGGUCUUAGGGCGUCGUGCCCUGUCCAACACCAUGGUCCAGUGCCCAGACCCAAAACAUAGAGCAGGUUACAGUAAUACAUAGUCCAGAUGGUGUUGAGUAGAAAAAAACCACAAUAUAUUACUCCCUCCGUUCCUAAAUAUAAGUCUUUGUAGAGAUUCCACUAGAUGGACUACGUACGGAACAAAAUGAAUGAAUCUACACUUAAAAUGCAUCUAUAUACAUCCGUAUGUGGUUCAUGGUGAAAUCUCUACAAAGACUUAUAUUUAGGAACGGAGGAAGUACACGGGAAAGAACAUGACAUUCCUGUACAUAAGUGAACCCCUAACAAAGCAAUGCCCUAACAAAGCAAUGCCCUAGAUCAUCUUCACACCCAUGAGACUCCAGGUUGUAGCCUUAAAGAUAAGUGUAGACAAACCCUGUCAAUAAGUAUACGUGGGCUGCAAGAGUAGAGAACAUUUAUUGUAUACCUACACCAUUCUCUGUCAUAAAAGUAGGGAGACAGAGCACUAAACAAAGAAGAGUACAGGUUCUUUUCACCAACAGAUGAACUUUGCAAUUAACACUCAAAAUGGGAUGAAAGCAAUGGGAAAUUUUCUUCUAAGACUGUCCCAAAUCAUUAUGAAUCAUGGGCAUGGGUCCUGCACACACACAUGAUGCAUUUUUUAUUAUUACCAUGCACUACUGCCUACUCCUCUAUAUAUCAUUAAGAACAGGUCACUAAUUCCUUUGAUGGUUGACACUAAGAUAAAGUCACAUGUUCAAAUUCUAUUAACCUAAGGCAGUAAUUCAAACAGUCCGUAGAAGCCUUUCAAAGAAGGCCCCUAAAAAAUAAUCAGCCAGACUAUAUGUACUGAACAUAAGAACUUAUUCCAGAGAUAUGUUAGCGACACAUUAUGAAAGAUUAUACCUCCACAAAGCAGGGACGGCAGAUCGACGGAUGUCCAUCCCCACUUCCUACAAUUACGCAAAAUAAAAUCUAAGGUGAGAACAUCACUGAAUUAUAAUUGGAAACUAAAUUUUGCUCUGAACCAUAACAUGCACUUGACAAAGUGAAAUAUCCAGAAAUGGAGUUAUUAUAUGAACCACAGCAUGCACUUGACAAAGUAAAGAAUGUGAACUGGAGUUAAACUGAUAUAAUCAUACAGUGGUAUUUUCCUGAAAAUCAAAUCAUAAAAAGAGAGAAAAGAAAC
rnacentral:lncRNA from 1 species